AGCUCCAGUAAGCCCAGCCACUGGGAGUUCUUUGAGUCUGGGGCAGUGUCCCCUCCCUGCCACCUGCUUCUGGCUGAGUGAAGAGGAGUUGACCGCCCGGAACGGACAGCCUGCCGCUCCUCCCAGGCUUCCAGACAGAGAAGUCCCAGAAGUCCCAGGCUCUGCUGGGGAGGAGGGAGCCUGGCCUCAGACCUGGCCAGGUCCCUCUCCCCAAAGAGCUCCAGCACCAGCACCUGACUGUGAAGCUCCCCCCAGCCCCAGCAGGGCCUCCGCCUCAACCCAUGGCUGCAGUCUGAAAUCUGAGACCCCACUCAGUGUGACCUGGCCUUGCUUGGCAUCAGCUGAACCAGUGUCCAGCCAGACAGAGCCUCAACGAGGUCCGCUGGCCCUGCAGGCUGGGCAGCCCUGGGACUCCCACCGAGCUGAAUGA